rnacentral:rRNA from 1 species
CACGUAGGCGGACUUUUAAGUUAGAGGUGAAAUCCCAGGGCUCAACCCUGGAACUGCCUUUAAUACUGGGAGUCUUGAGUUCGAGAGAGGUGAGUGGAAUUCCGAGUGUAGAGGUGAAAUUCGUAGAUAUUCGGAGGAACACCAGUGGCGAAGGCGGCUCACUGGCUCGAUACUGACGCUGAGGCACGAAAGCGUGGGGAGCGAACAGGAUUAGAUACCCUGGUAGUCC